AUUGAACGCUGGCGGCAGGCCUAACACAUGCAAGUCGAACGAGUGGCGGACGGGUGUGUAAUGUCUGGGACACUGCCCGAGGGAGGGGGAUCUCUACUGAAAACGGUAGCUUAUACCGCAUACCCUCGGAUGUGCCCAGAUGGGAUUAGCUAGUGGGUGGGGUAACGGCUCACCUAGGCGACGUCCCCUAGCUGGUCUGAGAGGAUGACCAGCCACACUGGAACUGAGACACGGUCCAGACUCCUACGGGAGGCAGCAGUGGGGAAUAUUGCACAAUGGGCGCAAGCCUGAUGCAGCCAUGCCGCGUGUAUGAAGAAGGCCUUCGGGUUGUAAAGUACUUUCAGCGGGGAGGCGUUACCCGCAGAAGAAGCACCGGCUAACUCCGUGCCAGCAGCCGCGGUAAUUC
rnacentral:rRNA from 1 species